rnacentral:rRNA from 1 species
GACGAACGCUGGCGGCGUGCCUAAUACAUGCAAGUCGAGCGAAGUUUUUCUGGUGCUUGCACUAGAAAAACUUAGCGGCGAACGGGUGAGUAACACGUAAAGAACCUGCCUCAUAGACUGGGACAACUAUUGGAAACGAUAGCUAAUACCGGAUAACAGUAUUUCUCGCAUGAGAGAUAUUUAAAAGUUGGUUAUGCUAACACUAUGAGAUGGCUUUGCGGUGCAUUAGCUAGUUGGUGGGGUAAAGGCCCACCAAGGCGACGAUGCAUAGCCGACCUGAGAGGGUGAUCGGCCACACUGGGACUGAGACACGGCCCAGACUCCUACGGGAGGCAGCAGUAGGGAAUCUUCCGCAAUGGGCGAAAGCCUGACGGAGCAACGCCGCGUGAGUGAAGAAGGAUUUCGGUUCGUAAAGCUCUGUUGUUAGGGAAGAAUGGAUAUGUAGUAACUAUACAUGUAAGAGACGAUACCUAACCAGAAAGCCACGGCUAACUACGUG